CGUAGGUGAACCUGCGGAGGGAUCAUUG
rnacentral:rRNA from 1 species